UCGCUGUGAAGAUGCAGUGUACCCGCGGCAAGACGGAAAGACCCCGUGAACCUUUACUAUAGCUUGACACUGAACAUUGAGCCUUGAUGUGUAGGAUAGGUGGGAGGCUUUGAAGUGUGGACGCCAGUCUGCAUGGAGCCGACCUUGAAAUACCACCCUUUAAUGUUUGAUGUUCUAACGUUGGCCCCUAAUCGGGGUUGCGGACAGUGUCUGGUGGGUAGUUUGACUGGGGCGGUCUCCUCCUAAAGAGUAACGGAGGAGCACGAAGGUUGGCUAAUCCUGGUCGGACAUCAGGAGGUUAGUGCAAUGGCAUAAGCCAGCUUGACUGCGAGCGUGACGGCGCGAGCAGGUGCGAAAGCAGGUCAUAGUGAUCCGGUGGUUCUGAAUGGAAGGGCCAUCGCUCAACGGAUAAAAGGUACUCCGGGGAUAACAGGCUGAUACCGCCCAAGAGUUCAUAUCGACGGCGGUGUUUGGCACCUCGAUGUCGGCUCAUCACAUCCUGGGGCUGAAGUAGGUCCCAAGGGUAUGGCUGUUCGCCAUUUAAAGUGGUACGCGAGCUGGGUUUAGAACGUCGUGAGACAGUUCGGUCCCUAUCUGCCGUGGGCGCUGGAGAACUGAGGGGGGCUGCUCCUAGUACGAGAGGACCGGAGUGGACGCAUCACUGGUGUUCGGGUUGUCAUGCCAAUGGCACUGCCCGGUAGCUAAAUGCGGAAGAGAUAAGUGCUGAAAGCAUCUAAGCACGAAACUUGCCCCGAGAUGAGUUCUCCCUGACUCCUUGAGAGUCCUGAAGGAACGUUGAAGACGACGACGUUGAUAGGCCGGGUGUGUAAGCGCAGCGAUGCGUUGAGCUAA
rnacentral:rRNA from 1 species